rnacentral:rRNA from 1 species
GAAAUGCGAUAAGUAAUGUGAAUUGCAGAAUUCAGUGAAUCAUCGAAUCUUUGAACGCACCUUGCGCUCCUUGGUAUUCCGAGGAGCAUGCCUGUUUGAGUGUCAUUAAAUUCUCAACCUUUCCAGCUUUUAUUAGUUUGGUCAGGCUUGGAUGUGGGGGUUGCAGGCUUCAUUUAGUCUGCUCUCCUUAAAUGCAUUAGCGGAACUUUUGUGGACCGUCUAUUGGUGUGAUAAUUAUCUACACCGUGGAUGUAAAGCAGUUUUUAUAAAAAGUUCAGCUCCUAACUGUCCAUUGACUUGGACAAUUUUGACAAUUUGACCUCAAAUCAGGUAGGACUACCCGCUGAACUUAA